GAUACACCCCUAUGGAGCAGGACUUGCUUCAGUGGGACUUUGGUGCUCACCAGGUCUGCCCCUUGAGUGUGUCACU
rnacentral:pre_miRNA from 1 species